ensembl:lncRNA
CAAAGUCACACAGGGAGCGUGACGCAGGAUUUGUUAUAAAUACCUUCUCAUCAUGUCUCUCUGCUCCUUUUACACAAAUCACCUCGUACCAUGUUGGAUGUCUUGUGCAUUUUGGAUCUGUGUGACCUAUGGUCAAAGCUGCAGAUAACCUGUCCUCUAAAGCUGGUGACAGGCUCCUGUCAUCUCUUUAUGGCUGUGCCUAACCACGACUCAGGUUCCCAGGAGGCUCCGUGAACUACAAACAUGGCCGCUGAGGACUACACUUCCCACACACGCAUCGGAACCACGAAGAAUUCAUUAUUCCCCCAUCCUGUUUUGUCAGUUCCCUGGAGUGGGAGUUGGACCAAACCUUAGAGAGCAUCCCCAGGUCUUAGGUUCCAGCAGCAUGCCCCUAGGGAAG